GACGAACCGUGCGACCGUUAUUCAGAAUCACUGGGCUUAAAGCGCGUGUAGGCGGGAGGGCACGUCCGUCGCUGAAAUCCCCCGGCUCAACCGGGGAACGGGCGCGGAUACGACCUUCCUGGAGGGGCGUAGGGGGACCUGGAACUUCCGGUGGAGCGGUGAAAUGCGUUGAGAUCGGAAGGAACGCCCGUGGCGAAAGCGAGGUCCUGGACGCCUACUGACGCUGAGACGCGAAAGCCAGGGGAGCGAACGGG
rnacentral:rRNA from 1 species